CGCCUACGGGGGGCUGCAGUGGGGAAUAUUGCACAAUGGGCGAAAGCCUGAUGCAGCAACGCCGCGUGAGUGAUGAAGGCCUUCGGGUUGUAAAGCUCUGUCUUUUGGGACGAUAAUGACGGUACCAAAGGAGGAAGCCACGGCUAACUACGUGCCAGCAGCCGCGGUAAUACGUAGGUGGCAAGCGUUGUCCGGAUUUACUGGGCGUAAAGGAUGCGUAGGCGGACUUUUAAGUGAGAUGUGAAAUUCCCGGGCUUAACUUGGGAGCUGCAUUUCAAACUGGAAGUCUAGAGUGCGGGAGAGGAAAGUGGAAUUCCUAGUGUAGCGGUGAAAUGCGUAGAGAUUAGGAAGAACACCAGUGGCGAAGGCGACUUUCUGGACCGUAACUGACGCUGAGGCAUGAAAGCGUGGGUAGCAAACAGGAUUAGAUACCCCAGUAGUCAGA
rnacentral:rRNA from 1 species